rnacentral:rRNA from 1 species
UACGGAGGAUCCGAGCGUUAUCCGGAUUUAUUGGGUUUAAAGGGUGCGCAGGCGGGAGAUUAAGUCGGUGGUGAAAUUUUGCAGCUCAACUGUAACAGUGCCAUUGAUACUGGUUUCCUUGAGUGUGGAUGAAGUAGGCGGAAUUUGUGGUGUAGCGGUGAAAUGCAUAGAUAUCACGAGGAACUCCGAUCGCGUAGGCAGCUUACUAGGCCAUAACUGACGCUCAGGCACGAAGGCGUGGGGAUCAAACAGGAUUAGA